rnacentral:rRNA from 1 species
GACGAACGCUGGCGGCGUGCCUAAUACAUGCAAGUCGAACGAGAGCGACCGGUGCUUGCACUGGUCAAUCUAGUGGCGAACGGGUGAGUAACACGUGGGUAACCUGCCCAUCAGAGGGGGAUAACAUUCGGAAACGGAUGCUAAAACCGCAUAGGUCUUCGAGCCGCAUGGCUUGAAGAGGAAAAGAGGCGCAAGCUUCUGCUGAUGGAUGGACCCGCGGUGCAUUAGCUAGUUGGUGAGGUAACGGCUCACCAAGGCCGUGAUGCAUAGCCGACCUGAGAGGGUGAUCGGCCACAUUGGGACUGAGACACGGCCCAAACUCCUCGGGAGGCAGCAGUAGGGAAUCUUCCGCAAUGGACGCAAGUCUGACGGAGCAACGCCGCGUGAGUGAAGAAGGUUUUCGGAUCGUAAAACUCUGUUGUUAGAGAAGAACAAGUGCUAGAGUAACUGUUAGCGCC